UUGAGCCCCUUUUCAUAUGCCUGUUUGCUAUUUUUUUUUUCAGAAAUGUCUAUUGAGUUCUUUUUCCUAUGGGGACUGUUAUGAUUUGCAUUCACAGUUGAGGGAACUGAGGGCUGGGAAUGUUGAGACUUUUCAGAGGUCCUAAAAGAAUGGACCCCUGAGUCAGGGUGGCAAACGAAGCUCCCCUGUCCAGCUUUCUUCCACAUGGCAGGACGUAGGCCUCAGACUGGAACCCUGGCAGUCAUUUUUGCCCUGUGGGUCUCUCUGAGCCCUGCCCACCAGAAGCAGCUGCAGAUCCCAUGGCCCAGGUCACAUUCUCUUGGGGGCCACUUCUGGGGACACACAAGGAAGACUGAUGUGCCAGAAACAUUCCAGUGGCCCCGGGUUCCUAUUCCAACUCUGCCUGCACUAUCUUCAUUCAAUCAUUCCUUCCAGCCUCAACCUUCUCAUGGGAAGGACGCAACCACCCACCACAAAACUCACUGUGAGAGUCUUGUGAUAGUAUAGUAUGUUCAUAGCCUAGCGCCUGGGAGAGUGCUCAAGAAUGGGUAGCUGUGAGCCUGGCAGGUAGUGCACACCUGUAGUCCCAGCUACUCAGGAGGCUGAGGCAGGAGGCUCCCUUGAGCUAAGGAGUUCAAAGCUGCAGUGAGCUAUGAUCGUGCCAUUACACUCCAGCGUGAGCAACAGGGUGAGACACUGUCUCAAAAAAAAAAAAAAAGAAAGAAAGAAAUGGUAGUUGCUCUGGGUGAACUCCUUCAGAGGAUGGAUUUGAUCUCAUUACCAUCUCUUCAAGCCCCAGACACCCUGCAGGCCUUCCAUACAGCACAGGUUGGAGCUGAAGUUGUGCCCAGGCUGGGAAUGGAGGAAGGACGUGCUCGGGAGAAGGUGAAGAUGGGAGAGAAGCAAGAUCUUCUGUGUUUGGACCAAGGACACAUUUCCUUACUCCAUAGCAGCUGUGGUCAGUGGCUUAGCUCGGACAAGGAGAUGAGAGCCCAUGUGUUGUGAGGGUUCUUCUGGGAACUCUGAGAAGGCAGGAGCCGCCCUUCACUGCCUCUCUUCCAUUCUGCAGCAUGGAAUAUGGAUGUGUGGUCUGGAUGUACAGACACCAUUUUGGACCAUAAAGACAAGGACGAUUGUCUAAGGAUGACACAGCCAGAGCACUGAGAGUGGCGAGAAGGACAGGGGAGCUGCUGUGCCAAGC
rnacentral:lncRNA from 1 species